rnacentral:rRNA from 1 species
AUUGAACGCUGGCGGCAUGAUUUACACAUGCAAGUCGAACGGUAACAGGCCGCAAGGUGCUGACGAGUGGCGAACGGGUGAGUAAUGCAUCGGAACGUGCCCAGUCGUGGGGGAUAACUACUCGAAAGAGUAGCUAAUACCGCAUACGAUCUAUGGAGGAAAGCGGGGGACCGUAAGGCCUCGCGCGAUUGGAGCGGCCGAUGUCAGAUUAGGUAGUUGGUGGGGUAAAGGCUCACCAAGCCAACGAUCUGUAGCUGGUCUGAGAGGACGACCAGCCACACUGGGACUGAGACACGGCCCAGACUCCUACGGGAGGCAGCAGUGGGGAAUUUUGGACAAUGGGCGCAAGCCUGAUCCAGCAAUGCCGCGUGCAGGAAGAAGGCCUUCGGGUUGUAAACUGCUUUUGUACGGAACGAAACGGCUCUGGUUAAUACCCGGGGCUAAUGACGGUACCGUAAGAAUAAGCACCGGCUAACUACGUG